rnacentral:rRNA from 1 species
AUACGGAGGGUGCGAGCGUUAAUCGGAAUUACUGGGCGUAAAGCGCGCGUAGGCGGCUAAGUAAGUCGGAUGUGAAAGCCCUGGGCUCAACCUGGGAAUUGCACUCGAUACUGCUUGGCUAGAGUAUGGUAGAGGGUAGUGGAAUUCCUGGUGUAGCGGUGAAAUGCGUAGAUAUCAGGAGGAACAUCAGUGGCGAAGGCGGCUACCUGGACCAAUACUGACGCUAAGGUGCGAAAGCGUGGGGAGCAAACAGGAUUAGAAACCCCGGUAGUCC